GGGCCAUUAGCGCAGGCAGGUAGCGCAGCAGGCUUUUAACCUGAAGGUCGUGGGUUCGAUUCCCACAUGGCCCG
rnacentral:tRNA from 1 species